UGCAAGUCGAACGAGGCUGAGGGGGCAACUCCUCAGUCGAGUGGCGGACGGGUGAGUAACACGUGGGUAACCUGCCCGGAAGUGGGGAAUACCUCGGGGAAACUCGAGCUAAUACCGCAUGACAUCUUCGGGACGAAAGUCCUGACGAUCAAAGCGGGGUCGCAAGAUCUCGCGCUACCGGAUGGGCCCGCGCCCGAUUAGCUAGUUGGCGAGGUAACGGCUCACCAAGGCUUCGAUCGGUAACCGGCCUGAGAGGGCGAUCGGUCACACCGGAACUGAGACACGGUCCGGACUCCUACGGGAGGCAGCAGUGGGGAAUCUUGCGCAAUGGGCGAAAGCCUGACGCAGCAACGCCGCGUGGAGGAUGAAGGCCCUUGGGUUGUAAACUCCUGUCGGUUGGGAAGAAAUCUUGCGGGGCUCAUACCUCCGCAAGUUGACUGUACCAGCAAAGGAAGCCCCGGCUAACUCUGUGCCAGCAGCCGCGGUAAUACAGAGGGGGCCAGCGUUAUUCGGAAUUAUUGGGCGUAAAGGGCGCGUAGGCGGCUUUGCGUGUCUUUCGUGAAAUCCCUUGGCUUAACUGAGGACGUGCGGAAGAAACUGCAGAGCUGGAGUCCGGGAGAGGGGGGUGGAAUUCCCAGUGUAGCGGUGAAAUGCGUAGAUAUUGGGAGGAACACCGGUGGCGAAGGCGGCCCCCUGGACCGGUACUGACGCUGAGGCGCGAAAGCGUG
rnacentral:rRNA from 1 species